rnacentral:lncRNA from 1 species
UUGAGGUUGAGUGGUAGAAAGGGCUCAAUAGCCCUAACUUUAAUACCCCCUUUCUUUAAUAAAAGCAUUUUUCAAUAAAACGCUCCUACAUCCACCUGCAUGCUUUUUUGGCAAAGUGGCAAAAUCUGUAACAAACAGACCCAUCACAAUACAAACAUACUUUUUGUAUCAAAAGAUUACUAAAUUUUAACUUUUUAGUGACAAAUUAUAAAACCAUAUAAAUAAAAAUACAUACGUGCUUAUAAUGAGGUAAAAUAGUUUUGGAAAUUCGGAUGUGGCAGGUUUUGACACUCACAGAUAUGGCAGGUUUAUAAACUUAAAAUGAAUUUAACUAAUGAUUUUGCUCCAAAGUUGUUGUAAAACUAACAAUUUUCAAGGAAUAUAGUCAACACAUAAGGCAUAAAGGUACAAUAAUAGAAUUUUUUAGAAGAUGCAAACUCUCUAUUAUGUCGUCAGAGUUAAAUUUCAUAAAUUUUUACAUUGAAACUAGGUUCUAAACAAAAGGUAAUGUAUUCAUGAGCAAACAUUCGUGAGAGCAUCCUUUUAGAUUACUGUCUUUCACUAAAUAAAUUCAAGGUUGUUGUCUUCAAUUUCCUCUACUAAUUUACCAUCAAUGUCCUCCUCUGGUGUUUCUUCUGUAUUUUGAUUUUGAUUUUUCUUCACUUGGAAAUAAAAUUGAAGAGCUUGAGUUUUCCAAUCAUCUCCAAAGUGUUUUGAGAGCAAUUUAGCAUUAUCCCCUAAUUUUCAAGAGCAGUAGAUUCGCUCCAUUUUCCAUCUCAAUCAGCAUCAUAUUUUGAUGUGUGUAAUUUGGUAUAGUUACUUGCCUAAACACCAGUGUCUGUUCUGUAAGCAACUUCACCUUUUACCCCAACAGCAAUUUUGUCUUUAUUUUUCUUUAAAAUAAUUCGUUGGGAGGGAUUGAUUCUAAAGUGCCAAUUGCCUGGUUUCUUUUAUACCUUUCCAGAUUCACUUUUAAAGUCAUAGACUAGUACUGUCACACCUACUUGUGAACAAUGCAAUGUUUUGCUAAGAUCUCGUACUAUUUUAAAUUUAAUAAAAGGCACUUAAUUUAACUUGUGUACUUAUUUUUGAGUUUCCAACAUUAGCUUUUUCUCCAUGUCUUUUUUGAUGUUUUAAGUGGUCAUUAAAGGUUCAAACUUGUUGAACAAGCAUGUUUUUGGUGAACCAAAACCAAAGUUGAAGUGCGUAUUGAUUACUAUUAGAAAAUAAGAUCCUUUCACUUUCAAAGAAUCUUAUUCUAUAAUGUAAGGACUUAAACAGUGUUCAAUUUUCCAUUCACCCUGUCAGAAUCAAAUAUAAUAAACUUUGGUAAAUCACUGAGCAUGCUGGGAAGUCACAUGACUGAACCGAGCACUCUCAUUGGCUGCGAUGGAUGUGGUGGAGUUUGAAACUAAAGAUGGCUAAAACGAUGAUGGGUCUGGUGAGUUCUGAAACUAAGCCACAUUUUCAACAAUGUGUUUAUCGUGGAAUGUAGCGGGUUUAACUACAAAAUGAUGGUUUAUAAAAUAAUGGGAUGUUUAUCUCAACUUCAAUGUUGAAUCAACUCUUCCUACCACAUGUGGUAGGGUUUGAUUGUAGGUGCCUCUUGUAACGAAUAGUUAGUUAACCCUUUUAGUGCCACAGGUAUUGUUACAGGUUUGCUUGAAUGAAACACUCGGUGCGUAUUGAAUCCACUAUUUAUUAAUCUUACAAAUAAAUCUAAUACUGUCUACUUGAGACUAUACUUGUCUACAGAUUUCACUAACUGUCACUAAUUUAUUCUGUCACAAUCCACGAUUAACUAACUAAACGGUCCAGGGUUACACAAAAUAAAGCUUGGAGAAACAAGCUCUAUCCCUUCCAUAAACAAAAAAUGCAGCAUUUACAUCCAGGAGACGAUGCUCAUCGCUUGGACUACUGCAUUUGGUAAACACUCAUCGUCGACUUUUUAACUAUAUUUUAUUUACUGAUGAUACAAAAUUUACUUGUGAUGCUAUGAACAAUUUACGAAACCAACAUUCAUGGGCAGAAGUGAACCCUCAUGCAACAAUUAAACGUAACUUUCAACAGUGUAUUAGUCAUAACGUUCAGUGUUGUAUUAUUCAUGAUCAGCUGAUUGAACCGUUUAUUUUUCAAGAGCGCUUAACAGGUCAGACAUACUUACCAACAUUGCUUGGAGAUAUUCCUCUUGCAACGUGGUGCACAUUUAAUUCUAUUAAAUUUAAAUCAUCCUUGUAUUGACAGUAAUAUUUAAAUUCACAUUCACGUUGAUAAAAUUAUUAAAUUAACUCUGUUACAAUUUUGUCAACUGAGAAAUAUUUAAGUAGUCUUUUCCUUGUAUAUAGAAAGGGGCUUUGAAAUAAAGUACAUUAAAAAAAGUACAUUAUAUAUAAUGUAUAUUAUUUCUUAAUUUGUUUUAUAAAUAUAUAGUCAAUUUUUUAAUUACAGUCCCUCUAUAUGUGGGUAUUUAUAAUGUAUUUCUAUAACAGAUAUUUAUUCUCAGGUGAACAACGUAUCAAAUACAGCCGAGAGACUCUGCUAGAUCUCAGCUUCAAGCCGAUGUCUCAGAGUAAGCCCAAGAACGUGCCCAAUAAAUUGUGCAGGAAAAUAACCAAGAAAUAAGUCGUGUGAAGUCCAGUGUCAGCUGUACUAUCCUGGAGGCUCCAGUCUCCAGCCAGUGCUCUGCGCAGCAGGCUUCCACUACUGUUAUAAUAACCUUACUUUUCAGUUAUUAGUUUUAUUUUACAUCGACUUUUUGUUGAACUUCCUGAAAUAAUCACUUAUAUAACAUCUAUAUUUUGUAGCUCUAGAAACAUGUAGUUUUAUACUUUAUAUGGUAUUAAUUGUUCCUUGUUAUAUUUUUAAUAUAUAUUGAAAGAAGAGUUAUUGUUUAUGCUAUUUCAAUAGUAUUAGGCAUUUUUUAUAGCAUUAGAUAUUUCCCACGUGUUUCUGUAGUAUUAGACAUUUUAUCUGAAAUACCUCUUUUCAUAAAUAAGAUUUUUAAUGGUAACCCAACUACGGGACAUUGGUUUCCAAGGGGUUGUGGUUUUUGUGAUAUGAUUUCGUUGUUGACUAUUUACAUUAAGUUUGGGGAAUGUACUUUUAAAAAGUAUUGUCAUAUCUUGUCCGAUAUUGUCAAUACGACUUGUUAUAUUGCAGGCACUGUAGUUGUGUCUGAAUUUUUAGUUUUUAUUUAAGUUCACAUUCAAUUGUGAAUUAUAGCUAGUUGUAGUUAUGUAGUAAAUCAAUAAAAAUAAGUGUUUUUCUUGCAAAUUUUCACAAUUUCAUUUUUAUUAAUAUAGUUAUUCUGUACAACAUUUUUAUGAAUAAUAAAAGUAAUUUUUAUAUUGCA